UGCAUUCUACAAAAUUCGUCAUAAUAGGGAUUAAAUCUACUUAAUAUCUCAAAACCUAGCCAUCCAUCUCUCGAAAGCCUUAAAACGCUCGUUAUUUUCUCUGGAUAAAUUGACAAUUUUUUCUCUAAUUCCGCUCGAAUCUUUCUCAAUUUCUGGUUUUUGUCGCUUAAAGUGAUGAUUUACUCUAUUCCAUUUGGAUUUAUGUUUCUAAUCACUGAUUUUCAUCGUCAAACUGUUUGCUUUAUGUACGUCGUGAUAUAAAUAUCACAAUUUCAACUCUGCAAGUGUAGUAUCUUGGCAUAAAGUAUUACUGUAUUUGAUGCAUAAGUUGUGUUCAAUUGUUAGUUUAAGAUAAAUGUAAGAUCUGUUUCUUUAUUCCACAAUUUAUUAUAUCUGUUGUUGCAGAAGAGCCAUUUAAUGAGACAAAUAAAUAAGCUAACACUGUCUGUUUCUUCCGUUUUAA